rnacentral:rRNA from 1 species
GACGAACGCUGACGGUGUGCUUUAGACAUGCAAGUCGAACGAGAAAGCCCUUCGGGUUAGUAAGUGGCGAACGGGUGAGUAACACGUGGGCAAUCUGCCCCUCGCAGGGGGACAACCGGAGGAAACCCCGGCUAAUACCCCGUAAGUUCAAGGGAGGCAUCUCCCCUUGAAGAAAGGUAGCUUCGGCCAUCCGGCGAGGAUGAGCCCGCGGUGCAUUAGCUAGUUGGUGGGGUAACGGCCCACCAAGGCGACGAUGCAUAGCUGGUCUGAGAGGAUGAUCAGCCACACUGGGACUGAGA